UACGAAGGGGGCUAGCGUUGCUCGGAAUUACUGGGCGUAAAGAGCUCGUAGGCGGUCUGUCGCGUCGGCUGUGAAAACCCGGGGCUCAACCCCGGGCCUGCAGUCGAUACGGGCAGACUAGAGUGCGGUAGGGGAGACUGGAAUUCCUGGUGUAGCGGUGAAAUGCGCAGAUAUCAGGAGGAACACCGGUGGCGAAGGCGGGUCUCUGGGCAAUUCCUGACGCUGAGGCGCGAAAGCGUGGGGAGCAAACGGG
rnacentral:rRNA from 1 species